GAGCUCUGCAAGAGCAUCAACCCUGAUGAAGCUGUUGCUUACGGUGCUGCUGUACAAGCUGCAAUUUUGAGCGGUGAAGGUAACGAGAAGGUGCAAGACCUGUUGUUGUUGGAUGUUACCCCUCUUUCUCUUGGACUGGAAACUGCUGGAGGUGUCAUGACUGUGUUGAUCCCCAGAAACACCACUAUCCCAACAAAGAAAGAGCAGGUCUUCUCAACCUACUCAGACAAUCAGCCUGGUGUGUUGAUCCAGGUCUAUGAAGGUGAGAGAACUAGGACCAGGGACAACAACUUGCUUGGCAAAUUUGAGCUCUCUGGUAUUCCCCCUGCUCCCAGGGGAGUCCCUCAGAUCACCGUGUGCUUUGACAUUGAUGCCAAUGGUAUCUUGAAUGUUUCUGCUGAGGACAAGACUACUGGACAAAAGAACAAGAUCACCAUCACCAACGACAAGGGUAGACUCUCCAAGGAGGAGAUUGAGAAGAUGGUUCAAGAAGCAGAGAAGUACAAGUCUGAGGACGAAGACCACAAGAAGAAGGUAGAGGCAAAGAAUGCUUUGGAGAACUAUGCAUACAACAUGAGGAACACCAUCAAGGAUGAGAAGAUUGCAUCCAAGCUGCCUGAGGCAGACAGGAAGAAGAUUGAGGAGGCCAUUGAGCAGGCCAUCCAGUGGCUCGAUGCCAACCAGCUUGCUGAGUCUGAUGAAUUUGA
rnacentral:lncRNA from 1 species